rnacentral:rRNA from 1 species
GAUGAACGCUGGCGGCGUGCCUAAUACAUGCAAGUCGAGCGAACGGACGAGAAGCUUGCUUCUCUGAUGUUAGCGGCGGACGGGCGAGUAACACGUGGAUAACCUACCUAUAAGACUGGGAUAACUUCGGGAAGCCGGAGCUAAUACCGGAUGAUAUUUUGAACCGCAUGGUUCAAAAGUGAAAGACGGUCUUGCUGUCACUUAUAGAUGGAUCCGCGCUGCAUUAGCUAGUUGGUAAGGUAACGGCUUACCAAGGCAACGAUGCAUAGCCGACCUGAGAGGGUGAUCGGCCACACUGGAACUGAGACACGGUCCAGACUCCUACGGGAGGCAGCAGUAGGGAAUCUUCCGCAAUGGGCGAAAGCCUGACGGAGCAACGCCGCGUGAGUGAUGAAGGUCUUCGGAUCGUAAAACUCUGUUAUUAGGGAAGAACAUAUGUGUAAGUAACUGUGAACAUCUUGACGGUACCUAAUCAGAAAGCCACGGCUAACUACGUG